UCUAGGAGGAGACCUCGGGGACCCCAAACACAGGGAGCUCUCCCUGUAUCCUUAUUAGUUGUAAACCAUUACAUUAUUCUGUCAGACAAAAAGUUAUGCCCUCAUACCAGAAAACUUGCCAAGUACAGGAAAUUGUAACAAAACAAAACAAAAAAUAUUAAUAAUCCUUUUAGUCUAAACCUUCUUCCUCCACAUUUUCUGUAUAUAUCCGAGGUUUUCAUGAACAGGUUGUGUGGCCUCCUGCUUUUUGCCUUUUAUUGCUGCCAUGGCUUAUUUGUCUUGAUUCUUUUAUUGUUAACAUAUCAAAAGCCAUUCUGUAUGUGUUUGAAAUUCCUUGCAAAGAUGAUUUUGAUGGCUGCAUAGUGUUCACAGGUGGCUCACUAUUUUCUGACAUCUGAUUUUUAGUGCUUUCACCUUUCCACUGUAACAGUGCUGCAAAGGAUAUCUAAGAACUCUGCACCCACCAUGUGCAUUUUCACAGCAGGCAUCAUUGCUCAGAAAGGAACAGGGGGAGUCAGAGGAUGGAUAUAGGAUUCAAAUAACUGCUGAACUUGGGGGCCCUAAGAAGAGAUGCCAAGUUCAAAAAGGUCUCCAGCAAUAGCUCUAAUGAUACAGACUCAAAGUGGAUCAUCUAAAUAAUGAAUCCAUACCAAGAUCUAACUAAAUAGUUGUGCUUGUUAAAAUAAUAAUAACAGAACAAGGGGCUUCACCCACACAGGAGAGUUUAUAUGUCACUAGUGAGACUUCAUCUGGGCAGAACUUUCCAUGUAGAAAAGGUGUUUAAAAAAAAAAUCACAACACAGACACAUUGGAGGUACACAAAAAGAUCUUUGGUUAGAAUGUAAGCAAUGAGACUAGAGAGAGAGGCCUUAAAUAUCACAUGUCUUCAGGGUGCAAUGGAGGUUGUUAAAUGUCUCCCAGGAAGGAGGAGGCAGUACAUCUGACGUUGGAUGGGGUGAAAGGGAACUAGGAGAGACUGGAGGCAGAGAGUCUGCAGGGCACAAGGGGGGCAGGGACUGAUUUUGACUGACAGCAGUGGGGUGAGGAAGCCCAGGAUGGUGGAAACAGAACUGGCUUUAAAGGUAGCCAGACUCGGUUGGAACCCCAGCUUUGGAUAAUAUUUAUUAGCCAUUUGACCUGAGCAAGUCACUUAAAUGUCUGUAGCUGUGUUCUCAGCAUAAAGAUCAACACCUACAUUUUAAAAAUGAGAACCAAUACAUAUAAAGUAUUAUAUCUAACACAGUGCCUUGCAGUAAGUGGGUAGUAAAUGAUAAAAAUUGUUAUCAAGAUACUACCAAGGAAUAAUUGAUAAGAUUUGGCCAUUACUGGAUACAGGGCAGAAGAAGAGAUAAAAAAAUUAUUCCAGAUAUCAACCCGGGUCACAGGAAGAAAAACAGCCACUGUAUUAAGCCUUAAGUACAGACAUUCUGGUGUGCACUUGAAGACAUUACCUCACGUAGUACACAAAUCAACUCUACGUUAAAAUGAAGACACUGAGCCUUAGAAAAAAUGUGUAGUUUGUUCAGGUCAACUGAACUAGUGAGUAGCAGGGUCGGGAUACAGAUUCGGAUUCAGAAAUCAUUUAUAUUUUACAAGUGUGGAAACUGAGGCCAAGAGGGUUGAAGAAUUUGCCUGAAGUUACACAACCGGAUGGUGGCAGAGCUGGAAUAAAUCUGAUCACAUGAGUCACCAUGAAACUACACAGGCUAAGCUAACUGGGGUGGGGAAUUCAAAUGGAUAGUAGCUUCACAUAGAUAACGAUUGAGGCGAUGACAGGUAUUUCCAGGUAGAGACCUCCAGCAAGGAGUGUGACUAAAACUCAGGAAAAGCGUGUGGAUAUAGACCUAGGAGUCACCUCCGAGAGGGGGAAGCAGCUGCCCUGGGGGUGAACGAGCUUCUCAAAGGCAAGCAUGAAGAAUGUGGAAAGUGGGAAGGCUGAAGGCAAGCCUCACGCACCACACGUGACGGCCAAAGGCAGAAACAGCAGCAGACCUAAAGGCCAGGAGUUCCACAGACCCAGAAGAGGACAACACAGUUAACAGAGCUAAAGGCUACAAACAAGGCAGGGGAUGGGAGAAAGGUCACUGGAUUUCACCAUCAAGCAAUGCUGGUGACCUUGGAAAAGAAAAAUUUGGGACCAGUGGUUUAGGAGUGGACAGAGGGCAAGAUCUGAGUGCACACCUCUCUUUCCAGAAGUUUGUCAGUGAAAAGAGAGAAAAAGGUAUCUAAAUGAAGAGGUAAGAUUCUGAUGGAUGACUGUUUUGAAGGAGGGACAGAGGCAGCACAUGUAAAGAGGCCCACGUUGAGAAGAGUCUGAGGACGCAGAGAGAUGGACGCACCUGCAGCGCUGCAAGAGAGGCAUCAGCCCAUUUCAAAGAUGCGGUGGAGAGAUGAACCAGGACUACUUGCUGCAGUGUACCACUGCAAAGCCAGAAUGCUCUCCCUUUUGCCCACGGAAUCCCCACAUUGCUGUGCAGAGCUCCAGGUUAUGAGCAUGCCUGGCUGUCAGGGGGAGGGGCUUCCAGGGCUGCCACCUGCCCCUAAAAGGUUCCGUGACUCUUCUCCUACUUCCUGAUGAGCUAUUGGGUAAUUCCCACAUGGACACUAUGGGAAACAAUGGACCAUGACGGGAAAAGUGUGUUUCUGUAUCAGGAUUCCAAUCCCAGCUUUACCUCUCCGCUUAAAAGCAGGUGAUGAUCAGCAAGCUACUAAAACUGGCUGACCCAAGGUCCUCCACUGUGAAUAUAAUAAAUCUGUAAAAACUAGA